GCCCUUCUGGUUGAUCCUGCCAGAGGUCACUGCUAUCGGUGUUCGACUAAGCCAUGCGAGUCAAAUGUUCUUCGUGAACAUGGCGUACUGCUCAGUAACACGUGGAUAACCUGCCCUUAGGACUGGCAUAACCCCGGGAAACUGGGGAUAAUUCCGGAUAGUUCAUGGUAGCUGGAAUGCUCCAUGAUCGAAAGCUAUUGCGCCUAAGGAUGGGUCUGCGGUCUAUCAGGUAGUAGUGGGUGUAAUGUACCUACUAGCCGACGACGGAUACGGGUUGUGGGAGCAAGAGCCCGGAGAUGGAUUCUGAGACAUGAAUCCAGGCCCUACGGGGCGCAGCAGGCGCGAAAACUUUACAAUGCGGGAAACCGCGAUAAGGGGACACCGAGUGCCAGCAUCUUAUGUUGGCUGUCCGCAUGUAUAAAUCACAUGUGUUAGCAAGGGCCGGGCAAGACCGGUGCCAGCCGCCGCGGUAACACCGGCGGCCCGAGUGGUGGCCACUAUUAUUGGGUCUAAAGGGUCCGUAGCCGGUUUGGUCAGUCUUCCGGGAAAUCUGACGGCUUAACCGUUAGGCUUUCGGGGGAUACUACCAGGCUUGGGACCGGGAGA
rnacentral:rRNA from 1 species